AUUUUAUAUGGGAGCAUCUGAUAUGGGAGUAUCUCAGUUGCUGAGACAAGAACCAACAUGUUCAAGUUUGGACCAGAGUUCAGUUGGCCAGUAACUGAACAAAAAUCUCAGCCAGAGCUGCAAGUGAUUUUAUUUGACAAUUUAUAGCCAUAUUUAUAGCCAUUCCUAUAUAAUACAGUUUAUAUAUAGUACAAUUUAUACUCUGCCUGGCAUAUAUUUUCCAGGUUUUAACCUAAACUGAGAUCCAUUGGUGAGUGGACCCCUACAAACGAUCUUAUUUACUAUCAACUGCACACUGGCACACAAUAGUCAAGAAUGGAAAUUAUCAAGCCAUCACACCAUUGCCCAGAAACCCAUGUAAAAUUGUGUUACCAGGUCAUUAGUGCCCACAGCACCAUGUCGGCUUCUCCUGGCACCCUUUCAGCACCCUCAUGCCACUUUCAACUUAUCGCCAAAAUCAUUACAAGCUCACUGUGAAUGAUUCAAUGCUUCCAUGUAAAGUGGGGGAGAAUGACGAUUGGUUGAAAACACUAGCAAAGGUUAUGUUGCUCUUGCAAUGAAUGGAAAAGAGGCCUCAGCUUUAUAUGACAUGAUGUUAAAUUGGUACAUAAGUUUCUUGACAAAAUACUGAUUUCUUUGACAUCCUAAAUCCCUCUUUUAAAGAUUGUAGCACAUAGUAAUUUCAUGCAUGUCUUCACACCUGUAAAUAAAAGUUUAUACUCAGCAAAUCUGACAAAUCAUAGAAUAGUAUGAAAUUCAAGCAUGUUAAAUUAAUAAAUUUGACCCUUUGCGUUUGCCGUUUGCGGUGAAAUAUCUCUACAUUUGUACG